rnacentral:sRNA from 1 species
CACGCUCCACACAGAUAAUUAAAUCUGAGCAUGUGGCCAUCCAGUCGUUAGAGGAUGUAACACCAGUAGUUAUUGUAGAUGAGGAAUCUAUGUUAGCUACAUUCAGGUGU